GGGCGGAGGGGCCUUCCGAGGGCCAGGGCACUGGGCCAGGAAGGAGGCAGCAGGCCUGCAGGAGAGGCCUGCAGAGGGGCCUCGGGCCUCAGACAAGCCCCUCUCUGGUGUCCUUGGAGCCCAGGAUACCUGGCUGGUGAUAUAAAUGCUGCUUUUUCACCAGAAGCCACAGUUCUGGGAUCUCAGAAGUGAUGGAUGAUGCUAGGCCCAACUCAUAGAUUGGCCCAUGCCAGCUAACUAGUAUGGUAGCUGGCUGGCCAUUCCCUGGGUAACUGAUCUUAAAAUGCCCUUCAGAAGCUGUCCUGCCGCCUAAGAGGUGGAGCAGUGGGGAGAACCCUCACUCCAGAACUGGAGAAUCAGGCAAGUGGAGUGAGAGAAGCAAGAAGAGGCCUGAAGGAAGCGAGGCCUGAGAGAGAUUCAGGGUCCCAUAGAGAACUGCUUCUCCAAAUGUGGUCCCUGGCCCAGCAGCAGCAACAAUGCCUGGGAGCCUAUCAGAAAUGCAGAAUCGUGGACCCUACUCAAGACUUGCUGAAUCUGAAUCUACAUGUUAAUGAGAUCCCCAGGGAUUUGUGAGCACAUUCAAGUUCAAGAAGUCCCGGGUGAGGCACACGGGCAGAUCCCCAACCCCUUCCCACUACAGGAUCACGGGGAUCUGGGAUCUGCACCAUGCUCAGUCCAGCUCCAUGGGCGCUCUGGCUCCCUCAUUGGCACAAGCAUCCCCUCGGUUAACCUUGGAACUUGAGGUCCCUGGAGGAAGCCUCCAGUUCUUAAAACCCCACAGCCAGACUAGUACAGUGAGUGGGAGGCUCUCACCCUUCUGAGUCGCCACUUCCCAAGGUAGAGGAUCUUCACUUCCUUUAUUUCUUUUCCUAGAAUGUGGGCUCUGGGUUCUAACCCAGGCUCUGCCACUUACUGACUGUGAUCCUGGAAGUUGCUAAACUUCUCUGCACCUUGGUUUUCCUUUUCUGUAAUACAGAGGUAACACAUUUUCUAGAUCAUACCUUUUUGUGGUGCAUAGAUCUAAGCAAAUACAUACGUCAUGCUUAGAAGAAUGGUUGGUAAAUAACGCCAUGAACAUUCGUCACUUGCUGUCAGCCUUCCGUCUUUCCCUCCUCUGGGUGACCCUUGGGCUGGGGUGGGAUGAAAGGAAGGUGGUGCUGACCUGUGAGGAGUCAGAGAAAGCAGUGCAAAGGCAGGGAUACUGGACUGGAGGUGACUCCUGUAGGGGGAAGAAGGAAAUGUGUUUGUAUGACACUGGGGUAUGCCAGGCUCAGUGCCAGGCACUUUCUUCCCUUCCACAGUGACACCAGGAUAGUGCUGUU